rnacentral:lncRNA from 1 species
UUUAUAGAAAAUGGAGACCAUUAGAUUUGCACUAAGUGACAAAAUUUGGUAAGGAGAGAGAAAGUUAAUGGGGGAAGAAGUGAUUUGAUGCGACGCGACGCUGGUGCAAAAAAAGAUGCAUGCCUCCCAAUCGACAGCAGCACACAACCCAAGACUAUUGUGGCACACCGCCCAAUUGACGGCACAAGUCGCUCAAGGC